rnacentral:rRNA from 1 species
GAUGAACGCUAGCUACAGGCUUAACACAUGCAAGUCGAGGGGUAACGAGAGGAAAGCUUGCUUUCCUUGUCGACGACCGGCGCACGGGUGAGUAACGCGUAUCCAACCUGCCCCCAACUAGGGAAUAACCUUGCGAAAGUAAGACUAAUACCCUAUAAUUUCCUCAGAUGCCAUCUGACGAGGAAUAAAGAUUUAUCGGUUGUGGAUGGGGAUGCGUCUGAUUAGCUUGUUGGCGGGGUAACGGCCCAACAAGGCAACGAUCAGUAGGGGUUUUGAGAGGAAGGUCCCCCACAUUGGAACGGAGACACGGUCCAAACUCCUACGGGAGGCAGCAGUGAGGAAUAUUGGUCAAUGGGCGGAAGCCUGAACCAGCCAAGUAGCGUGCAGGAUGACGGCCCUAUGGGUUGUAAACUGCUUUUAUACAGGAAUAAAGUUAGCCACGUGUGGUUAUUUGUAGGUACUGUAUGAAUAAGGACCGGCUAAUUCCGUGCCAGCAGCCGCGGUAA